rnacentral:rRNA from 1 species
AUACGUAGGUGGCGAGCGUUAUCCGGAUUUACUGGGUGUAAAGGGCGCGUAGGCGGGGGCGCAAGUCAGGUGUGAAAUCUAUGGGCUUAACCCAUAAACUGCACUUGAAACUGUAUCUCUUGAGUGCUGGAGAGGUAGAUGGAAUUCCUUGUGUAGCGGUGAAAUGCGUAGAUAUAAGGAAGAACACCAGUGGCGAAGGCGAUCUACUGGACAGUAACUGACGCUGAGGCGCGAAAGCGUGGGGAGCAAACAGGAUUAGAUACCCUGGUAGUCCACGCUGUAAACGAUGAAUACUAGGUGUGGGGGGACUGACCCCCUCCGUGCCGCAGUUAACACAAUAAGUAUUCCACCUGGGGAGUACGGCCGCAAGGUUGAAACUCAAAUGAAUUGACGGGG